CCUACGGGUGGCAGCAGUGGGGAAUAUUGCACAAUGGGGGAAACCCUGAUGCAGCGACGCCGCGUGAGUGAAGAAGUAAUUCGUUAUGUAAAGCUCUAUCAGCAGGGAAGAAAAUGACGGUACCUGAGUAAGAAGCCCCGGCUAACUACGUGCCAGCAGCCGCGGUAAUAAGUAGGGGGCAAGCGUUAUCCGGAUUUACUGGGUGUAAAGGGAGCGUAGACGGCAGUGCAAGUCUGGAGUGAAAGGCGGGGGCUCAACCCCCGGACUGCUCUGGAAACUGUACGGCUGGAGUGCAGGGGAGGUAAGUGGAAUUCCUAGUGUAGCGGUGAAAUGCGUAGAUAUUAGGAGGAACACCAGUGGCGAAGGCGGCUUACUGGACUGUAACUGACGUUGAGGCUCGAAAGCGUGGGGAGCAAACAGGAUUAGAUACCCGAGUAGUC
rnacentral:rRNA from 1 species